ACUUUGAAAUUAGUCCCAACAGGAGUGUAUCUACAAGCUGAGGGCCAUUUUGUAGUUAUGAGUACAAGGAAAUUAUUUACAGUACUGUCAUUUUCUCUCUACUGAACUAAUUUGAUGCGAAAAUAAAAUGUGAUUCACUCAUUACAACUUUUAAAUAUUUAUCAUUAUGUAGAUUCUGCAUAGACAUUCGCCUAUAGCAUCUACAGUGUUCAUUAGCCAGCCACACUUAGUCCUAGGUUCAGCGUCGGAUGCAAGGGUCCUACAUAAUGCCUUGACGCGAAAUUAUGAUCCUCUGAUUGUGCCCCAUGGAAAAUACUUUAUCGUCGAUGUAGGUUACGCUCAUUCACCAAGGUUCAUGGCCCCUUAUCGUGGAGUUCGAUACCAUCUGCAAGAGUAUUGUACUGGGAGUGGUCCCAUGAAUAUGAAAAAAAUAUUUAACUAUGACAUGCACAAUUGCGUAAUGCAAUUGAGCGAUGCUUCAGUGUGAUGAAGGAGAGAUUUUCAAUUUUAAAGACGGUUAUGCAAUAUCCUUUUGAUACACAAGUUAAAAUUGUUGUUACUUGUUGUGUGCUACAUAAUUUCAUAUGAAAAGAAGAUGGAUCGGACCAAGAUUUGCAUGAUAUUGGUGUACCUGUGGGUGACGUUGAGGCUAAUCCUACCCCAAAUGAGGUAUCAUUAGUUGAUGAAAGGCAAUGGCUAGAUCAAGUCACUCAAUGAGAGAAAGAUGCGUGUAUCAGAACUCGUGUAGGAUUGCAGAGCGCAUGUGGGCAGACGCCGAAAACAAUAGUAGGAUUCAAUAGGCCUACUCAGUUUCUUAAGUACUUUGACAGUUGAUGGCAAACAUAAUGGAUAUGUCAAUUUAUGUAUAAGUUCUAUAUGUUACUAUUUGGUAUUUGUAUUCAUUUUUGAUAAAUUAUCAUGAAACAUUAACUACUAUUUAUUUCACUUGUGGAGCCUUCCUCUCGUGCCACCAAUA